rnacentral:rRNA from 1 species
GACGAACGCUGGCGGCGUGCUUAACACAUGCAAGUCGAACGCGCCUGUCCUCUGGGUUUCUGGGGGGUGGGUGAGUGGCGAACGGGUGAGUAACACGUGAGUAACCUGCCCCCUUCUUCGGGAUAACGGUCUGAAAGGGCUGCUAAUACCGGGUAUUCACUGGUCUCCGCAUGGGGUCUGGUGGAAAGGUUUUUUUCUGGUGGGGGAUGGGCUCGCGGCCUAUCAGCUUGUUGGUGGGGUGAUGGCCCACCAAGGCUUUGACGGGUAGCCGGCCUGAGAGGGUGACCGGUCACAUUGGGACUGAGAUACGGCCCAGACUCCUACGGGAGGCAGCAGUGGGUAAUAUUGCACAAUGGGCGCAAGCCUGAUGCAGCGACGCCGCGUGAGGGAUGGAGGCCUUCGGGUUGUGAACCUCUUUCGCCCGUGGUCAAGCCGCGACGUGGGUCGUGGUGAGGGUAGUGGGUAAAGAAGCGCCGGCUAACUACGUG